CAUUUGAAUUGAUUAUUGCGUAUGGUGUGAGAUGAGGCCGACAGGUGUAUGGGUAGAUGCUCAGCAUCAGGGAAUUGCAGAUCAAAGCCACAGUGUGGUGUCAUCUCACAUCUGUUGAAAUGGAUUUUAUUGAAAAAACCAAAAGACAGCACGUGUUGGUGAGGUUGUGGAGAGACUGGAACCCUUGCACGCUGGUGCAGUUGCUAUGGAAAAUAAUAUGGAGAUUCCUCAAAAAACUGCAAGUAUCAAAUGAUCCUGCAAUCCCACUUGUGGUGUUCUUACCUGAAGAAUCCCAGGGACAGAGA
ensembl:lncRNA